rnacentral:rRNA from 1 species
GAUGAACGCUGGCGGCGUGCCUAAUACAUGCAAGUCGAUCGGGCGUAGCAAUACGCCAGAGGCGAACGGGUGAGUAACACGUAGGUAACCUGCCCUCGAGACUGGGAUACCCAGACGAAAGUUUUGGCUAAUACCGGAUAACAACAUUAGAGGCAUCUCUGAUGUUUGAAAGGCGCUUUAUAGCGUCACUCUUGGAUGGACCUGCGGCACAUUAGCUAGUUGGUGAGAUAAUAGCCCACCAAGGCAAGGAUGUGUAGCCGAUCUGAGAGGAUGACCGGCCACAAUGGGACUGAGACACGGCCCAUACUCCUACGGGAGGCAGCAGUAGGGAGUUUUCGGCAAGUGGGGGAAACCCUGACCGAGCAACGCCGCGUGAGUGAUGAAGGUCUUCGGAUUGUAAAGCUCUGUUACAGGGGACGAAUGGUUGGCCUAGGAAAUGAGGUCAGCUUGACGGUACCUGCCAGAAGUGACGGCUAACUACGUGCC